ncrna:unclassified sequences L31-Firmicutes ribosomal protein leader
CUAUGGCAGAAAAAUGUCAUGGCGGAAGGAG